rnacentral:rRNA from 1 species
UACGAAGGGGGCUAGCGUUGUUCGGAAUUACUGGGCGUAAAGCGCACGUAGGCGGAUAUUUAAGUCAGGGGUGAAAUCCCAGAGCUCAACUCUGGAACUUGCCUUUGAUACUGGGUAUCUUGAGUAUGGAAGAGGUAAGUGGAAUUCCGAGUGUAGAGGUGAAAUUCGUAGAUAUUCGGAGGAACACCAGUGGCGAAGGCGGCUUACUGGUCCAUUACUGACGCUGAGGUGGCGAAAGCGUGGGGAGCAAACAGG